GUGGGGAAUAUUGGACAAUGGGCGCAAGCCUGAUCCAGCCAUGCCGCGUGUGUGAAGAAGGCCUUUUGGUUGUAAAGCACUUUAAGCGAGGAGGAGGCUCCUUUAGUUAAUACCUAAAGAGAGUGGACGUUACUCGCAGAAUAAGCACCGGCUAACUCUGUGCCAGCAGCCGCGGUAAUACAGAGGGUGCGAGCGUUAAUCGGAUUUACUGGGCGUAAAGCGUGCGUAGGCGACUUUUUAAGUCGGAUGUGAAAUCCCUGAGCUUAACUUAGGAAUUGCAUUCGAUACUGGAAAGCUAGAGUAUGGGAGAGGAUGGUAGAAUUCCAGGUGUAGCGGUGAAAUGCGUAGAGAUCUGGAGGAAUACCGAUGGCGAAGGCAGCCAUCUGGCCUAAUACUGACGCUGAGGUACGAAAGCAUGGGGAGCAAACAGGAUUAGAUACCCGAGUAGUCC
rnacentral:rRNA from 1 species